GUGGCAUCCCUGGGUUCAAUAUCCAGUACCAAAAAAAAAAAAAAGAAGGUGAGGAGGACUCACAUAUUAAACACAAUGAUAAUCAAAUACUUGAAAAUGUUAUCCAGCUAGACUGGUUGUGAAAACCAAAUUACCUCAAGUUUCUUAAAUGUUCUUAAUUUUUUCACACAUAUGUGCACACACCCACAUGCGGAGUAAAUCUAACAAUCCUAAAUAACAUGAGAAAAUUCUUUUAAAAGUUUUUGAGAUACUUUUAUCACCACACACAGGUAAUUUGCUCUAAGUAUUGGUUUCUAGAUUUCUCAAAAUGCUCCUUUGGCCAGGGAAGGAUCAAGUUUGUCCUCCAAAUUUAGAAUAAGAGGAAGGAAAUAAAAAUUUAGACAACCAGUUGGCUGAGAUGUCUCUUCCACCCUUUCAUUGGGCUUUUCCUUUGUUGGUCUACUAUCCUCCCACAAAACCUUUUUUUCUCUUUGCUUAAUAUUGAUGUCUCUGUUCUUUUUCUUUAACUGUGAUAAAAUAGAGAUAACAUAAAGUUUACUAUCUUAAACAUUAAGUGCGUAGCCCAGUAGUGUUAAGUACAUUCUUCUUGUUUUCCAGCCGUCACCACCAUCCUUUCCCAGAAUUCUUUUAUCUUACAAAAUCAAAACUGAACAUUAAACAAUAACUCUCCAGUCCCUCUCCUCCCAGCCUCUGGCCACUAUCAUUCUACUUUCUGUCUCUAUGGAUUUGAAUACUUGAGGACCUUACAUAAGGAGAAUCAAACAGUAUUUGUAUUUUUGUGACUUGUUUAUUUCCCUUAAUGCACCAUAUCCUCAAGGUUCAUCCAUGUUGUAACAUGUGCAGAAUUUUCUUCCUUUUAAAGGCUGAAUAAUAUUCCAUUGUAAGUAUGUAUCAGAUUUUGCUUAUUCAUUGAUUGAUGGACCAUUGGGUUGCUUCCAUGUUUUAGAUACUAUAAAUAAUGAUGCUGUGUGAUUAAUGGUCCAGUUUGGAUCUGGAAUGUCCCUGAAAGUCCCAUGUGUUAAGACUUAGUCUUUAGUUUGGUGCUGUUGGGAGGCAACAGAACCAUUAAGAUGUGGGUCCUUGUGGGAGGUUUUCACUGGGGGCUUGCUCUUGAAGGGGAUUGUGAAACUCUGGUCUCUCUUCUUUUGCUUUUAGCCACCAUGAGAUAAGCAGCCUAUUCCACCACAUGCUUAUGCCAAAAUGCAUUGCCUUGCUGUAGGCCAAAAGCAACAAGCCAACAUCCAGAACUGUAACCCAAAAUAAACCUUUUCUCUUUAUAAUCAGAUUAUCUUGUGUGUUUAACACAGUAAUGGAAAGCUGACUAACGCAAUUACUAUUUCCACAGAAUGUCUUUUUCCAGACUUUCACUGUCAACCUAUUAGUGUUUCUAGAUCUAAAGUGAUUAUUUUAUAAAUAGUAUAUCAUUGGAUCAUUUUUAUGCAUUCUGCCAAGUUCUGCAUUUUGAUUAGAGUGUAGUCCAUUUACAUUCAAAGUAAUUACUAAUAAAGAGGGACUUCAGUCAUUUUGCUAUUUAUUUAUUGGAUUUUUCCCCAUUUCUCACAUUGCUGUCUUUUUUUGUUGAUUUAUUUGCAGUGAAAUAUUUAAUACCUUUAUUUCCUCUUUUGUACACUCUAUAGGUAUUUUCUUUGUGGUUCUCAUGUUUUAAUAUCCUAAAGUCAACACACUGAUUUAAAUUUAUGCUAGAUUAACUUCAGUAACAAAUAGAGCUCUGUUCCCUUAAUGUCUUAAUCUCUACCCCCUUUCAUUUAUUAACGUCACAGAGUUAUAUGUUUUUACAUUAUUUGUACAAAAACAAAUCAACAAUUGUGAUUUUUAUGCCUUAGUCUCUUCAAUUACAUAGAAAACAAAAUGUAGAUUUACAAACCACUCUUACGAUAAUACCAACUUUUCAACUAAUAAUUAUUUUUUCAAAUAUUAGUCCCAAAUUAUGUAGGAAACAAACAGCAGAACCACAAACUGGCCUUGCAAUAUGAUUUGCUUUUUAUAAUUGUUCAUGUACUUAUCUGUAUUUCUUUCUGUGACUUCAAAAACUGUCUAGUAUCCUUUAUCUCUACCUGCAGCGCUCCUUUAUCAGUUCUUACAAAGCAAGUCUGAUGACCAUGAACUCACUCAGCUUUUGGAUAACCUGGAUUACAAACCAUUUUAAGAAGGACAAGUGGAAGGGGGUGGCAGGCGCAGGCACCACGUCUGGCCAGGAAGGUGCAAGAAGAGUCCCCUGAGACAGGCCAAGGAGAGGAAGGAGGAAGAUGAGGCCAUCGAGCAGAAACAAAGGAGGAGCCCACGAACUUGAGGAGGUAAAAGUGAAGGCUACCCAGAAGGACCCCAGGAAUUAAGAAAUCCGGCAAAAAGAAAGCUGUUCCUGUACCUGAGAUGACGGUGACUGAAGGGUGACGAUUCCUUCUUAAACAUCUGAGUCCCUGCCAAAAUGUUUGCCACCUAGACCUGCAAAGAACCAUUGUCUUGGAAUCGGUUGUAAAUUUAAGAAUAAACUUUCAUUUAAAAAAAUAAAAUAAAAACAACCACAUCUUUUUGCAAA